UAUAAUGUUUUUCACCAUCAUAAUGUAAUGAAAUCGGUUUUAUGACAAAUACUUAUGUUGCAUAUUUUGACAUUCAUCAGGUAUAGUUAAUUAAAUGUUUUAACGAAUGUCCUGGGUGUUUUAAUCGAUGUUGUUUCAAAUUACGUAUUAAUAUAACACUGAUAAGACACAAACUACAGUUCGGUAUGUAAUUUAACUUGUUUACACGAGUAAAAGUUACUCGCGCUAAUGUGCUAACGUGCUAACUGCCCGGUGCUACGUGAGUCAGAGGCCGGGGUGGAGUGCAUGAGCCGCGGUCAGACAGUCACCAAUCACCGGGCGGCUAAAUGGAUCGACGGAGGAUAAAACCAUUAAAAGAUGCGGAGAAACACAUCACCAGCUCCACCGACAAGACCCAUUCACUGGAAACCGAAUAUAUAGAAGGUUACUAAGUUUUGCAGCAUUGAUGCCGAUCAUGAGGACGAUCUGCACCCUAACUGCACUGUCAAUAAGAUCGUUGUUCAGAGAAAACCUCAUUUGUCCCGUUUUGCAAUCAGGGAUAUUUUCUUUGGAGAGGAAAUAACGUUUGACUAUGGCGCAUGUGAUUGGCCUUGGAGAAAGCUUUCAUUGAAGGAUGCCCAUAUGACUGCAGAAGAGAACUGCUUCGACAACUCUCUGAUGAGCUUUCAUUGAAGUAUGACCAUAUGACAGAAAAAGAGAACUGCUCUGCUCCAGUAGGAGACCCACAACCCUCUGAUGAGGUUUGCUGAAGUAUGACCGUAUGACAGAAGGAGAGAACAGCUCUGCUCCAGUACGAGACCCACAACCCUCUGAUGAGCUUUUAUUGAAGGAUGACCAUAUGACAGGGGAAGAGAACUGCUCUGCUCCAGCACGGGACUCACAACUCUGUUAUUGCAUAUCAGAUUUAACGAACCGUUUACUACGGAUUUCAUGUAAUUUUGAUAACUGUCCAUUAAUCAGAUGUCAUCACGCUGCUGUGCCGUCAGCCAAUCUUUGUAUUGCUGAUAAUGAUUUUGAGGAUCGAUAGAUCUGUCACAACACACAGUCACGACACCUCUCAGAUCAGUUUAAUCUGAUUCGCAAACUUUUUUGAAGAACCAAAUUAGCCUAAGAUGAGUUAUCAAGAUUAAAAGAUCCAGGAUCUGUAAUAUAAUCUUAGAUUAUUUAAGCGAGGUC